GACCUUGUAGCUCAGAAGGUAAAGCGUUGUUCUAGAAAUUCGAAGGUCGCGAUUCGAUUCCCAGCCGUGGUCA